rnacentral:misc_RNA from 1 species
UCCCACAACCUUCAUCUUGACCUGAGUACACGGAACAAUAACUUACUAACUCGACAUCAUUUUCCAACAACAACCCGUUUGGCCACAGCCAUAAUGCAUAGAACAUCAGCACCAUGAUAAAUGGGACUAUGAAUAUCAGAGGAAAGAUAUUCAAAGCUACAAUUUUCAGCAUGAGAACUAAAGAACUAACACAUGUUCCCCUUAACUGUCUUAUUUUACAAA